UACGUAGGGGGCUAGCGUUGUCCGGAAUCAUUGGGCGUAAAGAGCGUGUAGGCGGUCCGGUAAGUCCGCUGUGAAAGUCGGGGGCUCAACCCUCGAAUGCCGGUGGAUACUGUCGGGCUAGAGUACGGAAGAGGCGAGUGGAAUUCCUGGUGUAGCGGUGAAAUGCGCAGAUAUCAGGAGGAACACCUAUUGCGAAGGCAGCUCGCUGGGACGUAACUGACGCUAAGACGCGAAAGCGUGGGGAGCAAACAGG
rnacentral:rRNA from 1 species